ACUAACUUGACUGAUCUACGAUCAGUAAGGUUAAGUUAUGAAGGGCGCAUGGUGAAUGCCUUGGUACUAGGAGCCGAUGAAGGACGGGACUAACACCGAUAUGCUUCGGGGAGCGGUAAGUACGCUUUGAUCCGGAGAUUUCCCAAUGGGGAAACCCAAUCAUCUUAGUCGAUGAUUACUUGAGCAGUGAA
rnacentral:misc_RNA from 1 species